rnacentral:rRNA from 1 species
UACAGAGGUCUCAAGCGUUGUUCGGAUUCAUUGGGCGUAAAGGGUGCGUAGGUGGCGCCAUAAGUCAGGUGUGAAAUCUCGGGGCUUAACUCCGAAACUGCAUUUGAUACUGUGGUGCUUGAGGACUGGAGAGGAGACUGGAAUUCACGGUGUAGCAGUGAAAUGCGUAGAUAUCGUGAGGAAGACCAGUGGCGAAGGCGGGUCUCUGGACCGGUACUGACGCUGAGGUGCGAAAGCGUGGGGAGCAAACAGG